rnacentral:rRNA from 1 species
AUUGAACGCUGGCGGCAUGCUUUACACAUGCAAGUCGAACGGUAACAGGCCGCAAGGUGCUGACGAGUGGCGAACGGGUGAGUAAUGCAUCGGAACGUGCCCAGUCAUGGGGGAUAACGCAGCGAAAGCUGCGCUAAUACCGCAUACGAUCUGUGGAUGAAAGCGGGGGACCGUAAGGCCUCGCGCGAUUGGAGCGGCCGAUGUCAGAUUAGGUAGUUGGUGGGGUAAAGGCUCACCAAGCCGACGAUCUGUAGCUGGUCUGAGAGGACGACCAGCCACACUGGGACUGAGACACGGCCCAGACUCCUACGGGAGGCAGCAGUGGGGAAUUUUGGACAAUGGGCGCAAGCCUGAUCCAGCAAUGCCGCGUGCAGGAAGAAGGCCUUCGGGUUGUAAACUGCUUUUGUACGGAACGAGACGGUCCGGGUUAAUACCCUGGGCUAAUGACGGUACCGUAAGAAUAAGCACCGGCUAACUACGUGCCAGCCGCCGCCGUAAUAC